rnacentral:rRNA from 1 species
ACUCCUACGGGAGGCAGCAGUGGGGAAUAUUGCACAAUGGGGAAACCCGUGAUGCAGCGACGCAGCGUGCGGGAUGACAGCCUUCGGGUUGUAAACCGCUUUCAGCAGGGAAGAAGCGCAAGUGACGGUACCUGCAGAAGAAGUACCGGCUAACUACGUGCCAGCAGCCGCGGUAAUACGUAGGGUACGAGCGUUGUCCGGAAUUAUUGGGCGUAAAGAGCUCGUAGGUGGUUGGUCACGUCUGCUGUGGAAACGCAACGCUUAACGUUGCGCGUGCAGUGGGUACGGGCUGACUAGAGUGCAGUAGGGGAGUCUGGAAUUCCUGGUGUAGCGGUGAAAUGCGCAGAUAUCAGGAGGAACACCGGUGGCGAAGGCGGGACUCUGGGCUGUAACUGACACUGAGGAGCGAAAGCAUGGGGAGCGAACAGGAUUAGAUACCCUGGUAGCGACUGA